GAUGAUAACCUAAGCAUUAAGGAAUCAUUUUCAUGACAUUCUGCAUUCAUUCAAAUGUCAUUCACGCACAUCUAGUUAGGAACAUUUGAUCCAUUCUGAUCAUGCCAUCCUAAUCAUUAGGCAUAAUUAGGUUCAUUAUACAGGUCAUGUUCCCUAGAGAACAGAUCAGUAAAAAUCAAAGACAAACCUUGCCUCUCUCGUUUGUAGCAGAGCUGGUUGAAGAUAGCAAAUCUUGCCUUCCUGCAUUGACAGCGAAGCAGAUCGAAGACAAACCUUGCCUCUCUCGUUUGUAGCAGAGCAGGUUGAAUAUAGCAGAUCUUGCCUUCCUGUAUUUGGCAGCGAAGCAGAUCAAAGAUGGAAGAUUUUACCUCCCUGACUACAGUGGAGUACAUUGAAGCCGAUAACUCUAUCUCCCUGUAUUUGGCAGUGGAAUAGAUUGAAGAUCAAAGAUGGCAGAUUUUACCUCCAUGUGACUACAGUGGAGUACAUUGAAGCCGAUAACUCUAUCUCCCUGUAUUUGGCAGUGGAAUAGAUUGAAGAUCGAAGAUGGCAGAUUUUACCUCCCUGACUACAGUGGAGUACAUUGAAGCCGAUAACUCUAUCUCCCUGUAUUUGGCAGUGGAGUAGAUUGAAGAUCGAAGAUGGCAGAUUUUACCUCCAUGUGACUACAGUGGAGUACAUUGAAGCCGAUAACUCUAUCUCCCUGUAUUUGCCAGUGGAAUAGAUUGAAGAUUGCAGAUCUUGCCUUCCUGUAUUUGGCAGCGAAGCAGAUCAAAGAUGGCAGAUUUUACCUCCCUGACUACAGUGGAGUACAUUGAAGCCGAUAACUCUAUCUCCCUGUAUUUGGCAGUGGAAUAGAUUGAAGAUCGAAGAUGGCAGAGUUUACCUCCCUGACUACAGUGGAGUACAUUGAAGCCGAUAACUCUAUCUCCCUGUAUUUGGCAGUGGAAUAGAUUGAAGAUUACAGAUCUUAUCUCCCUAAGCAAUAGUGGAGCAGGUUGAAGACGGCGGAUUUUACCUCCCUGAUUACAGUGGAGUACAUUGAAGCUGGUAGUUCUAUCUCCCUGGGCAACAGUGGAAUAGAUCGAAGAUUACAGAUCUUAUCUCCCUAAGCAAUAGUGGAGCAGGUUGAAGACGGCGGAUUUUACCUCCCUGAUUACAGUGGAGUACAUUGAAGCUGGUAGUU
rnacentral:lncRNA from 1 species